UUAUAUUUGAUAUAAGUGAUAUGCAUUUUUAACUGGAAAACCAUAAGUGUUAGAGGCCUAGGGUCUUUUGAUUUGAGGUCCUUGGUCCAAAAAAAUGAAAAUGAGGUCAAGGUCAAAGGUCAAGGUCAUGAUUAAAUUUUUGAUUUUGGCUUGUUAUCUCUUAUUUUCAGAAAUCUUAUAAGAUAUCGACAAAAUAUUUUCACAUAAUUGUUAGUCGCGACAUGUAGUUACACAUAAAUUUUAGUCGAAAGGGUACGUAAACAUUUGCUGCGAGUUUUUCCCCCUUUUAUAUCUAAUAUCAGUCGUAUGGUAAUAUAACUCAUUAACAAUAUAAAGUAAAGACCUAGAGUCUUUUGAUUUGAGGUCCUUGGUUCAUGACCUUGAAAUUGAGCUCAAGGUCAUAUGUUAAUUUAACGUUCUAGAUUUUGACCUUUGCUUUUACCUCAUAUGUAUUCAUGUUAAAGCUAUUAGACUUUUUGCAUUAGGUUGCAAGCAGUAUGACGUUGAAAAAGCUAACCGGAAGUGACCUUUUGUAAACCGGAAGUAGCUAAUUUUUGUAAUAAAUUAUUGUAAAAGUAUGUAAAACCAUAUAUUUUUGGAAUCAGCGUCAAGUAAACUAUAAGACAGUACCGGAAGUAACAUAUUUUGAACCGG
rnacentral:lncRNA from 1 species